rnacentral:lncRNA from 1 species
GCCGAGCGAUGGGAAUUACAGCGGGGAACGAAUCCGCGGCCGACCGCACUGCGGACUGAUGGAUCACGCGUCACUGAGAUGGAUCGAACGACUCCUGAUACCAAUUGUUAUGCACCUGGUUAGACCAAUUCGAUUACAGAAGGAGGAAGGGAGGAGGAAUCUGGGUACACGAUAGGGGAGGAGAAUGAAAGGGGGGAAGGUGUUUCCUUCUGCUAGUCGACGACCCUCUCUGUCUCCACUUCCUUCCUUUUAUCUUCAGCUGCCGUGGCACUCCUCUAUCUCUCUCCAGUCCUCCAGGCUCCAGCGGGCGGGAGCGACGAGAGGCCUUGGGCCUCCUCCCUGGGUUGGGCCGUUGCAUAACACUCCACCUCUUCAAAUCCGUCAGGAACCACCUCAUCGGCCUCUUCUUCAACAUCUCCGUCGUACGAUGGAUACUGAAAGGCCGUUUUUCAUAGGCCUGUGUCAAAAAGAGUAACGAGAAAUUCAUGUUUUUAAUACCCACAAAUAUUAUGUUUAAUUCGCAAAAAAAAACGACUAGAAAACUAUAGCCUUUUUUUUCACAGGAGGUUGCAAGAAAAAUACUCCCUCUGUAAAGAAAUAUAGAGCAUUUAGAUCACUGCUUUAGUGAUCUAAACACUCUUAUAUUUAUAUUUAUUUUUUUAUGGAGGGAGUACUAGCGAGCGGGGAGGAUGAGAAGCACUACUCUGUCUCGCUACGCUACCUAGAACCAACCUACUUAGCACUACACUAGCUCUCCUUCGCUGCUCAGUCACACCUAAUGACUACGCUACCUAGAACCAACCUAAACGAUGAGGAGCCUGAGCCUGAGUACUAACCAGGCAGUAGCAGAGCAUAUAUAUAAUCCAUCUCUCCCAGUCACUGGUAGAAUCAAGCAACGUUCACCACAAAGCACAAAACAACAGGCAUGGCCAAGAUGAUGACCAUGAUCAUGCUUUUCUUAGUCUCCUCCCUCCUCUCCCACUCAUCCGAGUCGUCCCAGUCCCACCUACAGAUCACCUUCAACGUCCACAAGCAAAAGUUCUCCGAGUUGGACCAAGCCAUGCAAAUGGUUUUGCCGCUUCGUCAGCCGCCUCAGCGGAGGCUAGUUGGGGCGGACGCUGCCCUGAAGGAGAGCUUGCUCUCCUUGAUGCAAGCAAUCGCGCACCGCAUGGAGACUCCCCACGGCCUCCCAAGCAUCGACGAAGGGGCCAAGCCACAUCCAUCGAGCUGGAUGAACAUGAAGACCGACGACGAGGAGGCCCACCCGGCGACUCCCACUGCGGCGCCAUGAUGGCGCAACGCGACGAUUUACAUUUCCGUAACUCCUGCCCUGUUCCCUGUUGUCCCAGGGCGCCGUAGUAUUUGUGUUCGUUUGAGUCAGUUGAUGUGCCGUUCUUUUCUCUUACGUAUUUCGCAAAAAUAACAAACAUGUAGUAUUUAUUGUGUUCAUCUGAGUCAGUUGAUGUCAAGCCGUCCUUUUCUCUUACGUAUUUCAUCGUGUGCUUUUCUCUUAGUCUCUCUGUAAAGAAAUGAGAUCCUUUAGAUCAUUCAUGAUCUAAAGGAUCUUAUAUUUCUUUACAGAGAGGGAGUAUUUAUGACGUUAUGCAUCAUACAAAGUUAGCAACCUCAUUCAAAACCCACACAAAAACAUAAGGUUCAAUGGACAGAAACACAUGAAACGGUCAUAUAAAUUCAAUGGUCUCAAAUAUAGCCCCCUAGCGUUUCAGGGAGAAAAAAAAAGAAAGACAAAUAUUGCUAAAUGGGACACAAACUUGGUAUUGGUUAACCCAAAUUCUCCCUCCGCUCCUAAAUACAAGUCUUUCUACAGAUUCCAAAAGAGACUACAUACGGAGGAAAAUGAAUGUAGUCCCUAUUGAAAUCUCUAGAAAGACUUAUAUUUAGGAAUGGAGGGAGUACAAUUCAAGGGCCACUAGCAGUUCAGGGACCAUACUUAAAGUAACAACUAACAACACAGCAUGAUUAUUCACAAACUUCAACUGUCCAAAAGACCAAAGCCAAGAAAAUAGUAUUUCUGAUUUCUGACAGCGACAGUCCACCUUCCACAAAAGUAUCGUGUAGAUGCUAGAUAACAUAAGUAGAUAGAUAACAAAUAACCAGAAUCAAACAUAUUAAGAAUGGUAUUCUUCUUAUUAGUUUUACUACUCCCUCCGUAAGUAGAUAGAUAACAUAAGUAACGAGAGUUUUUGAGAAAUCUCAAAUACAAAGAGUAAAACCGCUGAUUACUACUCCCUCCGUAACUUCAUAUAAUAUGUUUUCUGACACUGGCAUAGUGUCAAAAAGCAUCUUAUAUUAAGUUACGGAGGGAGUAUAACUGGAAGAGAGAUAAUAUUCAUGACGAUGUUAUCUUUCUCUACUCUGCGACAAGUUCAUCAUGCUAUUCAGUGAUCACAUUAUUAGUAACAAAGGCAAACUAUAUCAUCUCUUACCAAAGAUUUUAGUUGCCAUGUUGCUGAAUACAUCAAACAAGGCGUUCCGCUGCUCGUAGUCAACAGGAUUCAGGUGCAGCACGGCAUACACCUCGAGGAGCAAAUCACUGAGAGCCGGAAGACAGGCUAGGAUCGAUCAACAUCACGCCCAGCAGCUGCUCCUCAUUACACUUCGCGUGCCUGAGUAAAUCUGCAUAUGAACAGACAAGAAGCAUUGGUCAUGACAGCUGGAAGCUAGCUACAGACAAUGACAAUGAUUGGGAACAGCGAGAAUUAUAAGAAGUAAAAUCAAGAGAAAUAGCUAGCCACAGACAAGAAGCAUUGGUAUAUGGGCUGCUGAAGCAGAGCACUUGUCAACAUCAGACAAAAACAUAAGGUUGUUAAACUGGAGAGCAGUUUCAAUCAAACUAAUAAAAGCUACCUUCCGACUCAAGGAUCUAAGCACGUUUAAAUCGGGGAGAGAGAGAGAGAGAGAGAAAGAAAAAAGGAAUCAGCAUAGAACCAUACGUGACCGAACAGAGAGAUGAGAGACGUGGAGGGUACCUUCCAUGGCAUCGGCGCUGGUAGGGUCGGAGCAGACACGCGGAACCCAAAAAGGAGGCUCCUCUCUACUGGUGGAGAAGGAGCAGACUUCAAGCUUCCUUUGGCUUUUGGUGUCGUUUCGGUCGCUGGCCGUUGUACCUCCUACCUGCCUACAGAGAUGAAACAGGUGUCAGAGAGAGCAGAAGAAGACGAGGAGGAACAUAAAAAUUCAUUCUUUAUCAUGAUAGGAGCAUAACACUAAAGUAGCUAGCUAGCUACUCCCUCCGUCCGGGUUUAAAGGGCCUCCUGGCCACGAAGCCCCGUCCGAAAAUGUAAGGCCGCGCACACCAAACCUGCUCCAAUAGCAGCAUUUUUCCGGUCCCUAUUCCUAUGCGGUGCCUUGUUAACCGAGUGAGCAGUUAUGAGCCGUGCAUGCAAGCCAGUGCAUGUGGUCGUUUGCCUGCGAGCCGCCCCAUGCAAUGCCUUCUUUCCUGCGUCGGCUGUUUAUUACGGUUGCAUGCGCAUGUAAGGUGCCGCGGCUCAUUAAUUUAGCAUCUACUUUAAACUAGAGGAGAGCCUGCUAAUUGGCCAAUUUCAGCUCUAAUUUUCAAGCAUUUGCUUUCUAGCACUGCCUUGGUCCUAUCAAAGUGGUCUUUGGGCCUAAUAAACCCGGACGGAGGGAGUAGCUAGCUAUGAAGUACUCUAAAUACUAAAUCAUGUGGAUCUCAUCCUUGACAAACAUAUGUACAGAAGAGACGUCUUGUAUUUAAUAUAAGUAAAUAGCUGCAGACACUUUGAUGCAGCAGCCACUUUGAGCCAUCUUUGUAAGACUGGAAACUAACGUUGUAUAUGCCUGUAAGUAGCAGUUGGUCAGAUUUCAUGGCCAACUAGCUAUGAUUUUUGGCAAGAAAGCUAAGCUUCCAGUUUAAAAACCAAUCAGCCUUCAGUAGCACUCUAAUGAAAUAUGUGGCAGACUCAAGCAAAUCCGAAUAGUAGAGUACUACCUCCGUCCCAAAGUACUUGUCGCUCAAAUGGAUGUAUCUAGAUGUAUUUCAAUGCUAGAUACAUCCAUCUGAGCGAAAAGUAAUUCCGGACAGAGGGCGUAUUCUAUUAUGCAUAGCCAGUGCUAAGAAUUGAAGUGUUUCACAGUAAUGCCUUUCAAAUGGUUGAUUAGUCGGAAAUGGUAAAGUAACUGUAGAUCUCCCAUUAUUAAAUCAUUUGCACUGUGAUAAGAGCCGGAAGUAUCCUAUUAUGCUUCGCAAGUGUUACAGACUUAAAAGAUUAAGCAUUUUACAGUAAUGUAUGCUCCUACUGCCUCUCAAAUGGUUAAUUAACCAGAGGAGUCCAGCAUUGCAACUGACUGGAGAUUACUUUGUAUGAGUAACAACAAGAGCACCCUCCUCAGCUAAAGGAUGGUUUCUUCGAAAUAAGCUAAGUGGAUGGUUAUCCUGUUCUUGUACUAUGAAACUUGAAGAUUGGGCAUGUAGAUAAGGAAAUUGAGUAUUUUUUUAUUUCUUAUAUAAUAAUUUAGCCUACAACAUUAUGGCGUGGUUAGAACAAAAGCAAAACCUUUAGGUUGGUGCAAAAUUCACUAUGCCGUAGACAGACAGAGCACAUGAGCAAGAGCAGAGAGAGUAACCUUGACGAAAUCUGAAACUAUAUGCGUUGAGUCAGAACGAUAGGCAACAACAAUCAGGUAGCACUCCAGGAUUUCUUAAUUUUGCAACUUACAUCUAGCACUAGUAGAUGGGCUGAUGAACCAGAGCACUUGUCAACAUCAGGUAACAAGCAUGUGCAACUUAUCAUCGCAUGAAAAUAGAAGGUUCUUAAACUGAAGAAGAGCAAUUUCGAUCGAAUAUUACCUUCUGACCCAAGGCAAAUCCGAAUAGUACAGUAUUAUAGUGUGCCUUUCAAAUGGCUGGUUAGUUGGAAAUGGUAAAGUAACUGCAGAUUUUCCAUUAAUAAAUCGUUUGUAAUGUGAUAAGAGCCAAAAGUAUCCUAUUAUGCUUGGUAAGUGUUACAGACUUAAAAGCUUAAACAUUUCACAGUAAUGUGUGCUCCUACUGCCUCUCAAAUGGCUAAUUAACCAGAGAGGUCUAUCAACCUGCAGGUUUCCCAUUACUGAAUUGCUUGCACUAUUGAACUAAUAACAGCCAACAACAUUUCAAGUGACGACUGAACGUGGAGCAUUUGACAAAAGUCAAGACCGACAUCCAGCAAUGGCACGCAUAGCACAAAGGUCCAAAACUGAAUCCCCUAAGACGCACGCAUCUAGAACUUGAAUAAAAUCUUCCGCUUCUGCCGAAAUUAACUCACCGUCUGAUGAAGUCGAUGCGGGAGACAGAUCCGUGUUCCUCCCCGCCUUGUCACUCACCAACCCCACGAGCCUGACCUGCAUAUCCCAAACCCAAGCAACUGUAGUGAGUGCUUCCUCACUGGAAACUAGUCGUUGUAAGU